GACGUUUUCGGAGUGUCUGUGGGCUUAUUUCUAUUGGCAGAAGUAGAAAAAGCCGUAAGGAUCGCUCGGAGAAAGAGUGAAGAGAAGGGGGAACUCACUCACAAGUUGUUUAAACAUGUCGGCAGCAACCGGUGGUGGUGGUGGCGGUGCUCAGGAGGAGGAUAAGAAGCCUAUGGAUCAGUCUGCUCACAUUAAUCUAAAAGUUAAGGGCCAGGAUGGCAAUGAGGUGUUCUUCAGGAUCAAGCGAAGCACCCAGCUGCGCAAGCUAAUGACUGCUUACUGUGAUAGACAGUCAGUGGAGUUGAACUCCAUUGCAUUUUUAUUUGAUGGGCGCAGACUGCGUGGAGAACAGACUCCUGAUGAGGUAGAAGUUAAAUUCUACUUUUACAAUUUAGUGUAUUUUUUUUUAAUAGCAAUUUUAGUUGGUUCUGGACCUCCUUCUCUGGAUCAUCUUUCCCUCUGAGCACAUUUAAAUUAUGUUUUUACUUCCUUGAUCUCAAUUUGGGCUGGUGGCUUUCACGUUAAUCCAUUGUUCUGUGCAUAUUUUUAAUAUAUUAACGAGACGUUGCUUGACAUUUAUUUGUAGAUUUCAUUACCAAUAUAACCCAUUGGACAAACUAAUCAUUGUUUUUUAUAUGGUAAUGGCAUUUAUUUACUGGUUGCUUCAUGAAUUAUAAAUAGUGUGGCCCAUCUUUGUUUGCAGAUGUGGAUUGUAGAAUGCCGAUCCUUGUAUUUACAUCCUUUAAAUGCAUACAACACAAUUGUUGAAAAUAAUAGUUUAUUUAAUAAAUUUUAACAGCUGAAAUCUAAUUAAUUAUUUUUGUUCAUAUGAUUUUUCUAAUACUUCCUAUUUGGGGACAGCUUGAGAUGGAAGAUGGAGAUGAAAUAGAUGCAAUGCUGCACCAAACUGGAGGCGGAGAUGUAUACCCUUGAGUCCAUGUUGGGACCAAAUGGAUACAUACAGUUAUUUUCUUAAUCUAUGCAAAGGGCUAAUGUAAAUGAAAUUGAAACUGAGGCAGACUUGAAGUUUUGUGUUUUCUAUUGAAAGAAAAAUAUUCUAAAAGUUGUGCCGCUUCGGUUUAGUUUUAUCAUGUUUGUGGUUUAUGGAAUUGCGCUAUUUGUUUAAACUUAUUGUGUUACUUGUUGCUUCCUAUUUUCUACGGUUGAAUAAGAUUUUAAUGGUGUACCUUGAUAAAAA
rnacentral:misc_RNA from 1 species